rnacentral:rRNA from 1 species
UCCGUAGGUGAACCUGCGGCAGGAUCAUUG